CCUACGGGAGGCAGCAGUGGGGAAUAUUGCACAAUGGGCGGAAGCCUGAUGCAGCGACGCCGCGUGAGGGAUGAAGGCCUUCGGGUUGUAAACCUCUUUCAGCAGGGACGAAGCGUGAGUGACGGUACCUGCAGAAGAAGCACCGGCUAACUACGUGCCAGCAGCCGCGGUAAUACGUAGGGUGCGAGCGUUGUCCGGAAUUACUGGGCGUAAAGAGUUCGUAGGCGGUUUGUCGCGUCGUUUGUGAAAAACCCGGGGCUCAACUUCGGGCUUGCAGGCGAUACGGGCAGACUUGAGUGUUUCAGGGGAGACUGGAAUUCCUGGUGUAGCGGUGAAAUGCGCAGAUAUCAGGAGGAACACCGGUGGCGAAGGCGGGUCUCUGGGAAACAACUGACGCUGAGGAACGAAAGCGUGGGUAGCAAACAGGAUUAGAUACCCUGGUAGUCCACGCCGUAAAACGGUGGGCGCUAGGUGUGGGUUCCUUCCACGGAAUCUGUGCCGUAGCUAACGCAUUAAGCGCCCGCCUGGGGAGUACGGCCGCAAGGCUAAAACUCAAAUGAAUUGACGGCUGAGACGNGCGAGACGACGACAGGAGAG
rnacentral:rRNA from 1 species